rnacentral:rRNA from 3 species
UUAAGCGACUAAGCGUACACGGUGGAUGCCCUGGCAGUCAGAGGCGAUGAAGGACGUGCUAAUCUGCGAAAAGCGCCGGCGAGGUGAUAUGAACCUUUGACCCGGCGAUGUCCGAAUGGGGAAACCCAGUGCAAUCCGUUGCACUAUCGUUAACUGAAUACAUAGGUUAACGAGGCGAACCGGGGGAACUGAAACAUCUAAGUACCCCGAGGAAAAGAAAUCAACCGAGAUUCCCCCAGUAGCGGCGAGCGAACGGGGAGCAGCCCGGAGUCUGAAUCAGCUUGUGUGUUAGUGGAACGGUCUGGAAAGUCCGACGGUACAGGGUGAUAGUCCCGUACACGAAAGCACACAUGCUGUGAACUCGAAGAGUAGGGCGGGACACGUGGUAUCCUGUCUGAAUAUGGGGGGACCAUCCUCCAAGGCUAAAUACUCCUGACUGACCGAUAGUGAACCAGUACCGUGAGGGAAAGGCGAAAAGAACCCCGGCGAGGGGAGUGAAAAAGAACCUGAAACCGUGUACGUACAAGCAGUGGGAGCCUCUUUAUGGGGUGACUGCGUACCUUUUGUAUAAUGGGUCAGCGACUUAUAUUCUGUAGCAAGGUUAACCGUAUAGGGGAGCCGAAGGGAAACCGAGUCUUAACUGGGCGUUAAGUUGCAGGGUAUAGACCCGAAACCCGGUGAUCUAGCCAUGGGCAGGUUGAAGGUUGGGUAACACUAACUGGAGGACCGAACCGACUAAUGUUGAAAAAUUAGCGGAUGACCUGUGGCUGGGGGUGAAAGGCCAAUCAAACCGGGAGAUAGCUGGUUCUCCCCGAAAGCUAUUUAGGUAGCGCCUCGUGAACUCAUCUUCGGGGGUAGAGCACUGUUUCGGCUAGGGGGCCAUCCCGGCUUACCAACCCGAUGCAAACUACGAAUACCGAAGAAUGUUAUCACGGGAGACACACGGCGGGUGCUAACGUCCGUCGUGAAGAGGGAAACAACCCAGACCGCCAGCUAAGGUCCCAAAGUCAUGGUUAAGUGGGAAACGAUGUGGGAAGGCACAGACAGCCAGGAUGUUGGCUUAGAAGCAGCCAUCAUUUAAAGAAAGCGUAAUAGCUCACUGGUCGAGUCGGCCUGCGCGGAAGAUGUAACGGGGCUAAACCAUGCACCGAAGCUGCGGCAGCGACACUAUGUGUUGUUGGGUAGGGGAGCGUUCUGUAAGCCGUUGAAGGUGUGCUGUGAGGCAUGCUGGAGGUAUCAGAAGUGCGAAUGCUGACAUAAGUAACGAUAAAGCGGGUGAAAAGCCCGCUCGCCGGAAGACCAAGGGUUCCUGUCCAACGUUAAUCGGGGCAGGGUGAGUCGACCCCUAAGGCGAGGCCGAAAGGCGUAGUCGAUGGGAAACAGGUUAAUAUUCCUGUACUUGGUGUUACUGCGAAGGGGGGACGGAGAAGGCUAUGUCAGCCGGGCGACGGUUGUCCCGGUUUAAGCAUGUAGGCGGAGGUUCCAGGUAAAUCCGGUACCUUGUUAACGCUGAGGUGUGAUGACGAGGCACUACGGUGCUGAAGUGAUAAAUGCCCUGCUUCCAGGAAAAGCCUCUAAGCAUCAGGUAACACGAAAUCGUACCCCAAACCGACACAGGUGGUCAGGUAGAGAAUACCAAGGCGCUUGAGAGAACUCGGGUGAAGGAACUAGGCAAAAUGGUGCCGUAACUUCGGGAGAAGGCACGCUGAUGUGUAGGUGAAGUCCCUGCGGACGGAGCUGAAAUCAGUCGAAGAUACCAGCUGGCUGCAACUGUUUAUUAAAAACACAGCACUGUGCAAACACGAAAGUGGACGUAUACGGUGUGACGCCUGCCCGGUGCCGGAAGGUUAAUUGAUGGGGUUAGCGGCAACGCGAAGCUCUUGAUCGAAGCCCCGGUAAACGGCGGCCGUAACUAUAACGGUCCUAAGGUAGCGAAAUUCCUUGUCGGGUAAGUUCCGACCUGCACGAAUGGCGUAAUGAUGGCCAGGCUGUCUCCACCCGAGACUCAGUGAAAUUGAACUCGCUGUGAAGAUGCAGUGUACCCGCGGCAAGACGGAAAGACCCCGUGAACCUUUACUAUAGCUUGACACUGAACACUGGUCCUUGAUGUGUAGGAUAGGUGGGAGGCUUUGAAGCGUGGACGCCAGUCUGCGUGGAGCCAACCUUGAAAUACCACCCUUUAAUGGCUGGUGUUCUAACGUAGACCCGUAAUCCGGGUUGCGGACAGUGUCUGGUGGGUAGUUUGACUGGGGCGGUCUCCUCCCAAAGAGUAACGGAGGAGCACGAAGGUUGGCUAAUCCUGGUCGGACAUCAGGAGGUUAGUGCAAUGGCAUAAGCCAGCUUGACUGCGAGCGUGACGGCGCGAGCAGGUGCGAAAGCAGGUCAUAGUGAUCCGGUGGUUCUGAAUGGAAGGGCCAUCGCUCAACGGAUAAAAGGUACUCCGGGGAUAACAGGCUGAUACCGCCCAAGAGUUCAUAUCGACGGCGGUGUUUGGCACCUCGAUGUCGGCUCAUCACAUCCUGGGGCUGAAGUAGGUCCCAAGGGUAUGGCUGUUCGCCAUUUAAAGUGGUACGCGAGCUGGGUUUAGAACGUCGUGAGACAGUUCGGUCCCUAUCUGCCGUGGGCGCUGGAGAAUUGAGGGGGGCUGCUCCUAGUACGAGAGGACCGGAGUGGACGCAUCACUGGUGUUCGGGUUGUCAUGCCAAUGGCACUGCCCGGUAGCUAAAUGCGGAAGAGAUAAGUGCUGAAAGCAUCUAAGCACGAAACUUGCCCCGAGAUGAGUUCUCCCUGAGACCUUGAGUCUCCUGAAGGAACGUUGAAGACGACGACGUUGAUAGGUCGGGUGUGUAAGCGCAGCGAUGCGUUGAGCUAACCGAUACUAAUGAACCGUGAGGCUUAACCUU